AACGAACGCUGGCGACAGGCUUAACACAUGCAAGUCGAACGCCCCGCAAGGGGAGUGGCAGACGGGUGAGUAACGCGUGGGAAUCUACCCAUCUCUGCGGAAUAGCUCUGGGAAACUGGAAUUAAUACCGCAUACGCCCUACGGGGGAAAGAUUUAUCGGGGAUGGAUGAGCCCGCGUUGGAUUAGCUAGUUGGGGGGGUAAAGGCCUACCAAGGCGACGAUCCAUAGCUGGUCUGAGAGGAUGAUCAGCCACAUCGGGACGGAGACACGGCCCAAACUCCUACGGGAGGCAGCAGUGGGGAAUAUUGGACAAUGGGCGCAAGCCUGAUCCAGCCAUGCCGCGUGAGUGAUGAAGGCCUUAGGGUUGUAAAGCUCUUUCACCGAUGAAGAUAAUGACGGUAGUCGGAGAAGAAGCCCCGGCUAACUUCGUGCCAGCCGCCGCCGUAA
rnacentral:rRNA from 1 species